rnacentral:rRNA from 1 species
UUGUCCUACGGGACGCAGCAGUGAGGAAUAUUGGUCAAUGGGCGCGAGCCUGAACCAGCCAAGUCGCGUGAAGGAUGACUGCCCUACGGGUUGUAAACUUCUUUUAUAAAGGAAUAAAGUGCGCCACGUGUGCCUUUUUGUAUGUACUUUAUGAAUAAGGAUCGGCUAACUCCGUGCCAGCAGCCGCGGUAAUACGGAGGAUCCGAGCGUUAUCCGGAUUUAUUGGGUUUAAAGGGAGCGUAGAUGGGUUGUUAAGUCAGUUGUGAAAGUUUGCGGCUCAACCGUAAAAUUGCA